rnacentral:misc_RNA from 1 species
AACGCACAUUGCACCCUCUGGUACUCCAGGGGGUAUGCCUGUCCGAGCGUCAUUGCAACCUUCAAGCACGGCUUGUGUAUUGGGCGUCGUCCCCUGUGGACGAGCCUGAAAGGCAGUAACAGCGCCCGAAACAGUGCCUGAGCGUAUGGGGAUCUUCUCCGCUCAACAAGGCCUGUUCGGCGCUGGUGAGACCGAUCUUUUUACCGGUUGACCUCGGAUCAGGUAGGGAUACCCGCUGAACUUAA